rnacentral:rRNA from 1 species
AUUGAACGCUAGCGGCAUGCUUACACAUGCAAGUCGAACGAGUGGCGGACGGGUGAGUAAUAUAUGGGAACGUGCCCGCUAGAGGGGGAUAACUACUAGAAAGGGUGCUAUACCGCAUACUAUUGGAGGUGCCGAUAGCGGAUUAGCUAGUUGGUGGGGUAACGGCUCACCAAGGCAACGAUCCGUAGCUGGUUUGAGAGGAGGACAAGGGAAACGGGAACGGAGACACGGACCAGACGCCUACGGGAGGCAGAAGGGGGGAAGAGGGGACAAUGGGGGAAAGCCUGAUAAAGCCAUGCCGCGUGUAUGAGGAAGGCUUCGGGUUGUAAAGUACUUUUAGCGGGGAGGCGGUAUGUGCAGAAGAAGCACCGGCUAACUACGUGCCAGCCGCCGCGGUAAUAC